UGAUAGUUUUGUUCUCAGCUUAACAAAGACUUUUGUUUCUGUCUUGUACUAAUGUCUAGAAUUGUUCAAUUCAGUGACCUAGUUUUGAUCAGUGUUUCCAUGAUCCUUGUUUCUUGUAAGUUGGUCAUUUUUCCACAAAGUGUUUAUUCAUAGCUAAGGUCUUUAUAUACAACCCUGAUAUUUCACUGAGUCGCCUCUCAGAUUUAAACGUCGGGGAAACCAAUGAGGAUAGGAUAGACCUACAAAACAAGUUUCAGUACCCAAGUCCAGCAGCAGGAAAACUUGACACAGUGCAAACCAAUCCACUAUAGCAUCUAAGUUCCUCAAAUGUGGCUGGUGCUUACUUCAUAAUAAGCUCCAUGGGAUUCAUUAAGUGGAGUUCAUCCACAGAUUCUGUUUAGGGAGAGAUUCUCUUUGAGCUGACUUGGUACCUGUUCUGGUUUUUCCCAUAGGAAGUUAACAGAUACAAUUUUUGUGUCUCCUCAGAAUAUCUACAGCUCUGUAUUGAUUAAAAAACCUCAAACAACAACA